ACUCUGCUGUGUCCGUAGGGGAGUUGACAGAGACCGAAGGGGAGUUGACAGAGACCGAAGGGGGGACUAUAAGAGGAGGGACGUUGCCGUGUACAGAAGACGUAUCAGCACAGCGUUGAGUGAGGUUCACACAUACAAACCAGCAAGAUGAAGAUAGUGAUGUUGGCUGUGACUCUGGCCCUGCUGUUGGCUAGUGGUGAAGCACUGGACUGUCUGCGCUGUGUGCCAACGAAGGCAGGAAGAGACUGUGAGGUAACAGUAGAAACCUGUCCCCCAGAGAAGGACGGAUGUGCAGCCGCCAAGUUCCUCAGAGCACCAUUUGGCCAUUUCCAGAGAUGCAUGGACAUGUCGGGCUGUAAGCAGUUCCAAACCAACGCUUACAUCAACAUGAAGUGCUGUGGCACUGACAAGUGCAACACGUUCUAGAAUCUAUGUACUGGUUAAUGUUCUAGAAUCUAUAUACUGGUUAACAUUCUAGAAUCUAUGUACUGGUUAAUGUUCUAGAAUCUAUAUACUGGUUCACGUUCUAGAAUCUAUGUACUGGUUAAUGUUCUAGAAUCUAUAUACUGGUUAACGUUCUAGAAUCUAUGUACUGGUUAAUGUUCUAGAAUCUAUAUACUGGUUCACGUUCUAGAAUCUAUGUACUGGUUAAUGUUCUAGAAUCUAUAUACUGGUUCACGUUCUAGAAUCUAUGUACUGGUUAAUGUUCUAGAAUCUAUAUACUGGUUAACGUUCUAGAAUCUAUGUACUGGUUAAUGUUCUAGAAUCUAUAUACUGGUUCACGUUCUAGAAUCUAUAUACUGGUUCACAUUCUAGAAUCUAUAUACUGGUUCACAUUCUAGAAUCUAUAUACUGGUUCACAUUCUAGAAUCUAUAUACUGGUUCACAUUCUAGAAUCUAUAUACUGGUUCACAUUCUAGAAUCUAUAUACUGGUUCACAUUCUAGACCAGGGGAAUUCAAAUCCUUCCAUGGAGGUCUGGAGUACUGCUGGUUUUCUGUUCUACCUGAUAAUUCAUUGUUCUGGUGUCUAAAUCAGUCACUGAUUAGAAAUAAAUAAAAACAGAGGAAGUGGCUUUGA